UUCCAGGCUCUUCUCCAAAAAAAGUCUCCUUCAUGGGGAACCUGUUCUGACGUCCUGGUGUAACCGGAAACCACACUCCCAGGUGCGGAGCCCCCCACCCUGCUCUGUCAUCCAGAGUCCUGCUCGCCGUAUGGACUGUGGUU